rnacentral:rRNA from 1 species
GUGGGGAAUCUUGCGCAAUGGGCGAAAGCCUGACGCAGCCAUGCCGCGUGAAUGAUGAAGGUCUUAGGAUUGUAAAAUUCUUUCACCGGGGACGAUAAUGACGGUACCCGGAGAAGAAGCUCCGGCUAACUUCGUGCCAGCAGCCGCGGUAAUACGAAGGGGGCUAGCGUUGCUCGGAAUUACUGGGCGUAAAGGGCGCGUAGGCGGACAGCUUAGUCAGAGGUGAAAGCCCAGGGCUCAACCUUGGAAUUGCCUUUGAUACUGGCUGUCUUGAGUUUGAGAGAGGUGAGUGGAACUCCGAGUGUAGAGGUGAAAUUUGUAGAUAUUCGGAAGAACACCAGUGGCGAAGGCGACUCACUGGCCCAAUACUGACGCUGAGGCGCGAAAGCGUGGGGAGCAAACAGGAUUAGAUACCCGGGUAGUCC